GUCUAAUUUUGCAAGAACUUUUUCUAUUCAAAAUGACAUCUUAUAAUUCAAAAGCAAAUAUCCUAUUCAAACCUACCCCACUUCAGCCUACACGACAGCAAAUUAUGGAAAUGGUAAAGGCGGCUGAACGGAACUUGGAGGUUGGAUUGUACAAAAAACGAAAUCGACUAGAAAAUCAAAUUAAAACCGAACUUUCUGAAUAUCAACAAGAAAUUCACCAUAAAUAUGAGUUGCUUCAUGAUGAAGAGCGCC